rnacentral:sRNA from 1 species
AUUCGAUUCAAGUAGCGUAUUGCCGUUCUGUAGUCACUCGCCGUUCCGGCGCCGUUUCUCCGCUGCCAACUAGCUUUCUUGAUUUCGCUUGCGUUAAUGGGCACCUGCCCGAUUUUUUUAUUUUUUCAAGGAAAGUUACAUGGCAACUGGUACCGUAAAGUGGUUCAACGACGCUAAGGGUUUCGGCUUCAUCACCCCGGACGAAGGCGGCGACGAUCUGUUCGCGCACUUCUCCGAAAUCCAAGGCAGCGGCUUCAAGUCGCUGCAAGAAGGCCAGAAAGUGUCCUUCGAAGUCAAGAUGGGCCCGAAGGGCAAGCAGGCCGCGACGAUCAAGCCGAUGUAAGGCACCGUCGUCCAUAAAAAACCGCAGCCUCGGCUGCGGUUUUUUU